rnacentral:rRNA from 1 species
AACAAGGUUUCCGUAGGUGAACCUGCAGAAGGAUCAUUG